UAAAAACGAGCUUUGCAUCCAAAACUCUGUGUCAAGCCACAUAUUUUAACCCCACCAGGAGAGAGAGGGAAGGAAGGGGAGUUUGGUCUGCAAGCUGCCAGCUUAGCCCACUUCUCCAUCACUUUUUUUUUUUUUUUUCCAGAGCUCCAUUUCUUCAAUCAGCCUUUAUUAAGAGCAUAGGUUUGAGUGUAUAGGAACAAAUUCUUCUGGCUCUUUAAGGAACAUAUUGGAAGGGGGGUUUUAUUAGGCUGCAUUGCUGGAUAAGUGAUACAACAUGCUUUCCAGCAUGAAUCAUCUGAGUGGAGUGACAAAAAAGAAGCCUGAAAACUAAGCACAGCCAAAAUAUUGGCAGGCCUCAGCCACUCGGGCCAGAUUUCAGAUUUCGUCUCCUUUAGACCAAAAAAAAAGUAUAUAUAUAUUAAAUUAAAUUUUAAUCUCCUGGUGACAAUUCCCACGGAGGAGGGCUGAAGUAUUUUGUCUACAUCCCUCCUGCCCCCUUGGAGUCCCAGACUCCCCGCGAUCAGAGAUGGAGGAGCCCCCCAAGGGUCACCUCGGCCGGCCCCGCGUUUGCUCCCGUGCCCAGGCAGCGCCCCUGCCGCGAGCUCGCUGAGCGGAGGACCGGCUCGGCUUUAUUAGCAACACAUGCGGGGCCCACCGCGCACCCUGACAGCCGGCAGCUCCGCGCCAGAAUGGAUGGCUCGGAGGCUGCGAGGCCGCGGUUACAAAGGCGCCGCGCCGUUCUCAGGUGGACAAACGCGGGCCCGGGCGGCGGGCUCCGGUUCCCAGGCGCGGGGGCGGCGGCCCCUUCAAGUCGGGCGCGGGCGGGAGCGGAACCCGUGUUAAUUACUCACUUACUCUGAGGAAAGCCAUGUCAGCAGCUGCCUUCUGGAGAAUCCACCUGGCGAGGAACUCCAGCCUCCUGCCAACAGCCACGUGAGUGAGCUUGGAAGCACGUCCUGCAGCCCCGGUCCAAGAACUGAGUGCAGCCCCGGCCAAUAGCUUGACUGCAGUCCGACAAGAGACCUUGAGCCAAGCCACUCUGCAUUCUUGACCCUCAGAAACUGUAUGAGAUAUUAAUGCGGUUUUAAGCUGCUAAGUUUUGGGGUAAUUUGUUACACAGCAGUUGAUAACUAUUGAACACAAGACAUGUGAACAGACUGCCUACAGAUAUAGAAAUGUAUUCUGGAAACACUGAGGCUUCCUGCCCACAUGUAUGUAUACACACAGUAUACUUCCUUAUACCCCAGAUGCUUCCUUAUUGAUCUAAUACUGAAAAAAGAAUGAAGUAUGACAUUUUAUGUUCGUUACUGCUCUUUCGAUAGGUGGAAUGUAAAAAGGUGAGAUGCGUUGCUUGUAUUAACACAAUUGGAGACACUGGCACUGCCGUCAUGCCCAGGCUGUCCAGCAGACGUCACUUUAUUCCGUGGUGCAUUCCCAGAACAUUGCAUGGGUGAAUAACGACUUUUUGUAAAUUGAAUCAGGCUUAAAGUUCCCUAGUGUUGCUGGCUAAAGGAAGCCUCGAGUGAGCUCUUUUGUACCCGAAUAAAUUUGGUAAAAUAAAGAGACAGUUCCU
rnacentral:lncRNA from 1 species